rnacentral:rRNA from 1 species
UACAGAGGGGGCAAGCGUUGUUCGGAAUUACUGGGCGUAAAGGGCGCGUAGGCGGCCCGCUAAGUCGAACGUGAAAUCCCCGAGCUCAACUCGGGAACUGCGUCCGAUACUGGUGGGCUUGAAUCCGGGAGAGGGAUGCGGAAUUCCAGGUGUAGCGGUGAAAUUCGUUGAUAUCAGGAGGAACACCGGCGGCGAAGGCGGCCCCCUGGCCCGCAACUGACGCUCAUGGUCGAAAGCGUGGGAAGCAAACAGG